GGGACCUUCCACUCUAUCCUAUACUCUGUGGGGGGGCAUUAGCAUCCUAGGGUUAUACAUACAAGUCAAAGACUAUACUAGGUUACGGAUAAUCUGAAUAAUGUAUGUAGAAUAAUAUUGUCUUACCACAUUAGGGAUAAAAAUACCGAUUUUCGUCGAUGAAAGCCUCACUAAAAUGUGUAACACAUGGAUGGCUCGCUAUAUCGUGGUAGGGGCAGAUCUCGCACAACCCACAGGUGUUUACAAUGAACUACCUGUGAUACUGAAAAUAUUUCAUUUUAUGGUUUAUACAUACAUCAGGACUCACAGAAAACCAACGCUACUUGAUGGACGCAAAA
rnacentral:misc_RNA from 1 species